GUGGGGAAUUUUGGACAAUGGGCGCAAGCCUGAUCCAGCAAUGCCGCGUGCAGGAAGAAGGCCUUCGGGUUGUAAACUGCUUUUGUACGGAACGAAACGGUCCUGGUUAAUACCUGGGGCUAAUGACGGUACCGUAAGAAUAAGCACCGGCUAACUACGUGCCAGCAGCCGCGGUAAUACGUAGGGUGCGAGCGUUAAUCGGAAUUACUGGGCGUAAAGCGUGCGCAGGCGGUGCUGUAAGACAGGCGUGAAAUCCCCGGGCUCAACCUGGUAAUUGCGCUUGUGACUGCAGUGCUGGAGUACGGCAGAGGGGGAUGGAAUUCCGCGUGUAGCAGUGAAAUGCGUAGAUAUAGGAAGGAACACCAGUGGCGAAGGCGGCCACCUGGACCAGCACUGACACUGAGGCACGAAAGCGUGGGGAGCAAACAGGAUUAGAAACCCUAGUAGUCC
rnacentral:rRNA from 1 species